AGCGAACGCUGGCGGCAGGCCUAACACAUGCAAGUCGAACGAACUCUUCGGAGUUAGUGGCGGACGGGUGAGUAACACGUGGGAACGUGCCUUUUGGUUCGGAAUAACUCAGGGAAACUUGUGCUAAUACCGGAUGUGCCCUUCGGGGGAAAGAUUUAUCGCCAUUAGAGCGGCCCGCGUCUGAUUAGCUAGUUGGUGAGGUAACGGCUCACCAAGGCGACGAUCAGUAGCUGGUCUGAGAGGAUGACCAGCCACACUGGGACUGAGACACGGCCCAGACUCCUACGGGAGGCAGCAGUGGGGAAUCUUGCGCAAUGGGCGAAAGCCUGACGCAGCCAUGCCGUGUGAAUGAUGAAGGUCUUAGGAUUGUAAAAUUCUUUCACCGGGGACGAUAAUGACGGUACCCGGAGAAGAAGCCCCGGCUAACUUCGUG
rnacentral:rRNA from 1 species